rnacentral:lncRNA from 1 species
AUAUUUUGCCAAAAGUUUAACAAAUUGUUUACCAGGUGCUAAAGAACCUUUUUGCUUGUCUAUAGUAAAAUAAGAAACUUGAGUAUACCAACUGACCUCCAAUUAAAAAUGUUGAUUUCAUUGAACAAGGAAAUUUAAAGUAUUGCAAAAGAAUUUGGAGGUACAGUGUAGUAGUUCAUAAUUUUGUAUUAAAUGGUAAAAAACUUCCACUUGAUUUACGUUUCUAACUAAGGGUGUUAUUCUGGAAUAGAAUUAUUAAGUAGGAGUAUAUGUUAUCUUAUUAAGUAGGAGUAUAUGUUAUCUUUCCAGAAUAGAAUCAUUAAGUAGGAGUAUAUGUUAUCUUAUGUUGAAUUUUCAUUAAAAGGAGAUUUGUUCUAUAGUUUAUAAGUGUGAGGUAGCAUAGCUUUAAAAUCAGCGAUACAAAUGUUAUUCUUCACAUGCACAUAUGAUUUGCAAGAUUCCUAAAGAUUUAUUCCAAAAGCAAUGGUUCAGUAUUGAUGAAAGUGUGUUUUUUUAGAGAGCUUUAUUAUUUAAAACACAAUUUGCUCUUGAAACCGAUAUGCUUAGAAUAUCAAGAAGCAAGCCUAAUCUGGAUAACAAAAUUUAGAACAUGUAAUAUAAACAUUCCAAUUAAAACAAUAAAUAGCACAAAUUAUUUUCCAAAAGAGGAUAAGACCUGUACAGAUUGCAAAACUGGUAUAGGCAAUCAAUUCAACUACCUAUUCAAAUGCUCAGAAAUAGACAGAAAUUAUGAUCAAAAUUUGUCUCAAAUUAUUUUUAAAUGAAUCAAUUAUCAAUAAAAAAAAAUAUGUUGUCUGUAUGCUAUAAGAAGUUGAUGUUCAAUCUUGCCUUAUUCAGAAAUGUGUCAUAAUGUUGUUUUAAUUAUAGAUUGUUGCUACAGUUGUUUUGAAAUGAUACAUGUUAUUUUAC